rnacentral:rRNA from 1 species
UUUUGAUUUAAAAAUUAUACUUGAGUAGUAAUAGAUAAGGACUUGAAACUUAAAGAAUUUGGCGGUAUUUUAUACUGUUUAGAGGAAUCUGUCCCGUAAUUGAUAGUCCACAUUGAACCUAACUUAAUUAAAAUUUUAAGUUUGUAUACCGCCGUAUAUUGAAAAUUCUUUUAGGUUAAUUUUCUUAAUAUUUUAUUAUAUAAUAUUUCAGGUCAAGGUGCAGUUUAUAAUUAAGGGGAGAUGGAUUACAAUAUUUUAAGAUAGAUGGAUUAUAAAUUGAAAUUUUUAUAUGAAAGUGGAUUUAAUAGUAAAGAUUUAUAUAUUAUUAUUUUGAUUUGAGUUCUAAGAUGUGU